GACGAACCGUGCGAACGUUAUUCGGAAUCACUGGGCUUAAAGCGCGUGUAGGCGGGUCGGCACGUCGGUCGCUGAAAGCCCCCGGCUCAACCGGGGAACGGGCGCCGAUACGACCGUCCUGGAGGGACGUAGGGGGACCUGGAACAUCCGGUGGAGCGGUGAAAUGCGUUGAGAUCGGAUGGAACGCCCGUGGCGAAAGCGAGGUCCUGGACGUUUUCUGACGCUGAGACGCGAAAGCCAGGGGAGCGAACGGG
rnacentral:rRNA from 1 species